UUUUUGACUCAUCAACUGCUUUCGAGCUCCAUUGACCAGAUGGCUAUGCUGAGUUCAUUCAACUCUUCCAGGAAGACAUUAGCAUUUGACAUAUAGAUUCAUCACAGACCACCAUUAAAGGGCUUAACAUCCUUUCACAGGUCCUCACAGACAGAGCCUGCCACACGACACUGCGCAGAGCCUCAUUGAUCAGUGGCAACAUCUUACACAUACAAAGCUGCAUCCCAAAUAAAAGUACGUUUCAAGGUC